rnacentral:rRNA from 1 species
AUGCAUCAACAACAUAAUAUGGACAUGCUUUGCUCGGGUGCGGCGGUCAUAUUUGGCAAGUAUUGUGAAAGUUGGGUGAUGAAGGUCGAGCCUAGGAAAUCUAUUUUGAGUGGAUUUGGAUGGCUUCAAGAGACUAUUGCCACACCGGGAGAGACCUACACAAUGUUGAGAAUGACGGCAAGUGUGUUCUUUGAUGUUCAUGACUUGUUGGUGAGUAAUUAUGGUCUAAAAGAGACAAGCUUUGUUAGCACUUACGAGUCUCUUGCUAUGUUCUUGUGGACAUUGGGAGGUUGUGAGUCAAAUAGAAGAACUCAAAACCGCUUCAAACAUUCAGCGGAUACAAUCCAUCGUAAAUUCCAUGAGGUUCUACAAUGUGUGGUCAACAUGGCAUCUCACUACCUUAAGCCACAAGACCCAAACUUCCACAAUGUGCAUGAUAUCAUUAAGACAGAUAGAAGGGCUUAUCCGCAUCUCAAAGACUGCAUUGGUGCAAUUGAUGGGACUCAUAUACACUACAAAAAAAUACACUUCCAUGAUGAUACAUGUUUGUCACUGUAG